UACGAAGGGGGCAAGCGUUGUUCGGAAUUACUGGGCGUAAAGGGCGCGUAGGCGGUCUGCUAAGUUGGAUGUGAAAACUCUGGGCUUAACCCAGAGCCUGCAUUCAAUACUGACAGGCUAGAGUUCUGGAGGGGAUAGCGGAAUUCCUGGUGUAGCGGUGAAAUGCGUAGAUAUCAGGAGGAACACCGGUGGCGAAGGCGGCUAUCUGGACAGAAACUGACGCUGAGGCGCGAAAGCUAGGGGAGCAAACAGG
rnacentral:rRNA from 1 species